rnacentral:sRNA from 1 species
CAGCUCCUGAGGCAGACAGCUAUCAAGGUGACCCAGCACCUGGGAAUUGUUGGGGAGUGCAAUGUGCAGUAUGCCUUGAACCCUGAGUCUGAGCAGGUAAGCUCUAGGCCCUGGAACUGAUAGUCUAGUUGUUACCCCCUCUUCUUGCAUAAUUUUUGGCCCUUGAGGUUGAGGUCUUUUGGGCUUACAGUCCCUGGAGUAGAAGCUGGAAUCUUCUUUACUAGGGUUGGGCCUUAGAGAGGGCCCUUUUGCUAGCCAUCCUAUGGGGAGGGCUUAUUUUCUCUCCUUUCUGAGACCUCUCCUAGACAGGGUCUUCUAGGCCAGUGACUUUAUUCUCCUUCUUUGCAGUAUUACAUCAUUGAAGUGAAUGCCAGGCUCUCUCGCAGCUCUGCCCUGGCCAGUAAGGCCACAGGUUAUCCACUGGCUUAUGUGGCAGCCAAGCUAGCAUUGGGCAUCCCUUUGCCUGAGCUCAGGAACUCUGUGACAGGGGGUACAGCAGCCUUUGAACCCAGCCUGGAUUAUUGUGUGGUGAAGAUUCCUCGAUGGGACCUUAGCAAGUUCCUGCGAGUCAGCACAAAGAUUGGGAGCUGCAUGAAGAGCGUUGGUGAAGUCAUGGGCAUUGGGCGUUCAUUUGAGGAGGCCUUCCAGAAGGCCCUGCGCAUGGUGGAUGAGAACUGUGUGGGCUUUGAUCACACAGUGAAACCAGUCA